AUUAUUUUAGAAGAUUACAGGGGAUCCUUUGUUGGCACUGGGUAUAGUUGGCACUGAUUAGCAACUCUAUUACCUAUAACAGUUCUAGGUCCCAGUUCCAGGCUGAAGAGGAGCAUUGGUGGUCUGCCGCAAAGGAGUAGAGGUCCUAGGCACAGUUCCUAAGAAAAGAAAAGUGUUAACACUGUGUGCACAGAGGACCAAAAGCUCUUCCAGAGUAAAGACCAGAACCCAGACCAGGCAAUAUGUAUAUAACGAUUCAGGCAACUGAGCAAGCAUUGAACCGGAAUAUGCCAGAAAGUAUUUACACUAUGGAGAUUAAGAAACACAUCUUGCCUUGUACUGGAAACAAGUCAGUGAGCACAACAAAUUAAGAAGUCUAAAUGUGAAGAGGUCUCCCUACAAAGGACCUGCUGCAUUCUACCCUGAUUCAUGAGCUCCAGAAUAGAGUAGAGAAUACUCUUACUGGAGAACGAUAUGGGCAUUGUACCAAGUUGGAUCAAUUCAUCAGGCAUUUAUGGAGUGGAAAAAUAGGAGAAGUCAUUUAGAAGUAUAAGAUGAGGAAACUGAAGCAAACAAGGUUAAGUGACUUGCUUAUGGAUCACACAGCUCUUGUUGAAGGCCAAAUUUGAACUUGUCUAGACCCAGUGCUUUAUCCACUGAGGCACCUAGCUGUCUCGCCCCAUAUUUACAUUGUGUGCAUGUAUAUAGAUGGAUAGAGAGAAAUACACAUGUAUAUACAAAUAUACAAAUAUACCUAUUUCUAUUUUUAAAUAUGUACUGAUAUGUGUAAAUAUUAUUUCUCUCCCAAAAAAUAUGAGUUAUUUGAAGGAAGGGGUUAUUUCAUUUUUUACUUUAUAGCCCCAACACAGUUCCUGGUACAUAGUAGGCACUUAAUAAAUGCUUGUGUAAGUUUAAUUAUCUGUAAAAUGUGUUUGGACUGAAUGACCUCUAAGGUCUCUUCAACUCUAAUACCUACUGUGUGACCAGAUCUGUGCUGGCUACUAUGAGAAACAGAGAAAAAGCAAAGGACAUUGCUUCUGCUCUCAAGAAGCUUACACUCUUCCUGGGAAAACAGCAUUCAAGUAUUAAACAAUCCUCAAGCAGUAAAUGGGUCAUCAAAGAGUAGACAGUUAAGGACAAGGAACUGGGACCUGGGAGUAUCUAGGCUGCACAUUUUCAAAAACCAAACCAGUUUUUGGGAGAAAUCAUAGCGUGCUGGAAAGGGUAAUGGGUUUGGGCUUAAGUCCUAACUCUCUCACUAAUUCCUUGUAUGAUUUUGUGUGGUCAUUUGACCAUUUUGGACCUCAGCUUCCUCAUCUUUAAAAUAAAAAGGUUGGAUUGAAUCUGGCUCUAAAUCUAUGGCCUCGAGUGAGUCCAGAAAUACAUACAAGUUGAAGGUCAAAAUAGAGCAAUAAGUCAGAAAACUGGGCAGCAAGCAUUAGACAAGAAAUAAUUGACUAAUGGAGGUGUCAGCGAGCCAUGGGUUAGAAAACUAUUAGUUAGACAGGAAGACACAAAUAUUAAAGGUUAAGGCAAGGGGGUUGGUCAGAAAUCCAGGCAAACAAGCAAAUAUGGGCUGGAAAACAUAUUAGAGGCAUCAUCACUAGAAUGACCUAGAUAAUAAAGGUCACUCAUUGCCAAGGUCAAUAGGAAGCUUUAGUCAAAUUCUUGUUAAGGCAUAAAUCAGCACCUAAAUAGCCCAUUCUAGAACUUGCAGGUGGAAGCAGGUGAAUAUGGAUAUACAGAUGGAAUAAAGUAUAGGUUGGGCAGGUGGAGGAGAUAGCCAGAUAACAAUCAAUGCUAAAGUUUCCUCUCAAGCUCUUGAUAUUCCUAAUUAUGUAUAUAUGUUUUUUUAACUCUUACCUUCCAUCUUAGAAUCAAUAUUGUGUAUUGGUUCCAAGGCAGAAGAGUGGUAUGGUUUAGGAAAAUGGGGGUUAAGUGACUUGCCCAGGGUCACCCAGCUAAGAAGUGUCAGAGGCUAAUUUGAACCCAGGACUCCUACCCCUACGUCUGACUCUCAAUUCAUUGAGCCACCAAGCUGCCCUUAAUACUACUAAUUGUUAAUGCUCUCUUCCACCCCCAAAUCACUUUGAUUUGUUCAUCUCCCUGUGUAUGUGAUUUCUUUGUGUAAGCUCCUUGAGGGCAAACUGUUUCAUUUGAGUCACCCUUUAUAAAUAUAGAACUUUAUUAAAAAUCAAUAGAUUACUUCAUAUGUGAAUAAGUUCAUUCUCACAGGAGAAAUUCAAGCAGAGGCUUAAAGAUAAUUUGGGGAGUGUGUUGGAAGCAGAAUUUGUGUCUCAAGUAUGGCUUAAAUUCAGUGACUA